rnacentral:rRNA from 1 species
GACAGAGGGUGCAAGCGUUAAUCGGAAUUAUUGGGCGUAAAGCGCGCGUAGGUGGAUUGGUAAGUUGGAUGUGAAAUCCCUGGGCUUAACCUGGGAAUUGCAUUCAAUACUGCCAGUCUAGAGUACAGUAGAGGGAAGUGGAAUUUCCGGUGUAGCGGUGAAAUGCGUAGAUAUCGGAAGGAACAUCAGUGGCGAAGGCGACUUCCUGGACUGAUACUGACACUGAGGUGCGAAAGCGUGGGGAGCAAACAGG